rnacentral:rRNA from 1 species
UAGAGUUUGAUCCUGGCUCAGAACGUACGCUGGCGGCACGCCUAACACAUGCAAGUCGAACGAAGUAGCAAUACUUAGUGGCAGACGGGUGAGUAACAUGUAGGUAUCUGCCCUUUGGCCUGGAAUAACACGAGGAAACUUGUGCUAAUACCGGAUAAGUCUUUACGGAGAAAGCUUUAUGCACCAUUGGAUGAGCCUGCACUUGAUUAGUUUGUUGGUGGGGUAAUGGCCUACCAAGACUGUGAUCAAUAGCUGAUUUGAGAGGAUGAUCAGCCACAUUGGGACUGAGACACGGCCCAAACUCCUACGGGAGGCAGCAGUGGGGAAUCUUGCACAAUGGAGGAAACUCUGAUGCAGCGAUGCCGCGUGAGUGAAGAAGGCCUUUGGGUUGUAAAGCUCUUUCGUCGGGGAAGAAAAUGACUGUACCCGAAUAAGAAGGUCCGGCUAACUUCGUGCCAGCAGCCGCGGUAAUACGAAGGGACCUAGCGUAGUUCGGAAUUACUGGGCUUAAAGAGUUCGUAGGUGGUUGAAAAAGUUGGUGGUGAAAUCCCAGAGCUUAACUCUGGAACUGCCAUCAAAACUUUUCAGCUAGAGUAUGAUAGAGGAAAGCAGAAUUUCUAGUGUAGAGGUGAAAUUCGUAGAUAUUAGAAAGAAUACCAAUUGCGAAGGCAGCUUUCUGGAUCAUUACUGACACUGAGGAACGAAAGCAUGGGUAGCGAAGAGGAUUAGAUACCCUCGUAGUCCAUGCCGUAAACGAUGUGUGUUAGACGUUGGAAAUUUAUUUUCAGUGUCGCAGCGAAAGCGAUAAACACACCGCCUGGGGAGUACGACCGCAAGGUUAAAACUCAAAUGAAUUGACGGGGACCCGCACAAGUAGUGGAGCAUGUGGUUUAAUUCGAAGAUACGCGCAGAACCUUACCAACACUUGACAUGUUCGUCGCGACUCUAAGAGAUUAGAGUUUUCGGUUCGGCCGGACGAAACACAGGUGCUGCAUGGCUGUCGUCAGCUCGUGUCGUGAGAUGUUGGGUUAAGUCCCGCAACGAGCGCAACCCUCACUUUUAGUUGCCAUCAUUAAGUUGGGCACUCUGAAAGAACUGCCAGUGAUAAGCUGGAGGAAGGUGGGGAUGACGUCAAGUCCUCAUGGCCCUUACGUGUUGGGCUACACACGUGCUACAAUGGUAUCUACAACAGGAAGCAAAACUGCGAAGUUAAGCAAAUCCUUAAAAGAUACCUCAGUUCGGAUUGCACUCUGCAACUCGAGUGCAUGAAGCUGGAAUUACUAGUAAUCGUGGAUCAGCGUGCCACGGUGAAUGCGUUCCCGGGUCUUGUACACACCGCCCGUCACACCAUGGGAGUUGGUUCUACCUUAAGGCAAGGUUUAAAACCCUUGACCACGGUAUAGUCAGCGACUGGGGUGAAGUCGUAACAAGGUAACCA